GUUUGAUCAUGGCUCAGAUUGAACGCUGGCGGCAGGCCUAACACAUGCAAGUCGAGCGGUAGAGAGGUGCUUGCACCUCUUGAGAGCGGCGGACGGGUGAGUAAUACCUAGGAAUCUGCCUGAUAGUGGGGGAUAACGUUCGGAAACGGACGCUAAUACCGCAUACGUCCUACGGGAGAAAGCAGGGGACCUUCGGGCCUUGCGCUAUCAGAUGAGCCUAGGUCGGAUUAGCUAGUUGGUGAGGUAAUGGCUCACCAAGGCGACGAUCCGUAACUGGUCUGAGAGGAUGACCAGCCACACUGGAACUGAGACACGGUCCAGACUCCUACGGGAGGCAGCAGUGGGGAAUAUUGGACAAUGGGCGAAAGCCUGAUCCAGCCAUGCCGCGUGUGUGAAGAAGGCCUUUUGGUUGUAAAGCACUUUAAGCGAGGAGGAGGCUACUUGGAUUAAUACUCUAGGAUAGUGGACGUUACUCGCAGAAUAAGCACCGGCUAACUCUGUGCCAGCAGCCGCGGUAAUACAGAGGGUGCAAGCGUUAAUCGGAAUUACUGGGCGUAAAGCGAGCGCAGACGGUUGAUUAAGUCUGAUGUGAAAGCCCGGAGCUCAACUCCGGAAUGGCAUUGGAAACUGGUUAACUUGAGUGUUGUAGAGGUAAGUGGAACUCCAUGUGUAGCGGUGGAAUGCGUAGAUAUAUGGAAGAACACCAGUGGCGAAGGCGGCUUACUGGACAACAACUGACGUUGAGGCUCGAAAGUGUGGGUAGCAAACAGGAUUAGAUACCCUGGUAGUCCACGCCGUAAACGAUG
rnacentral:rRNA from 1 species